ensembl:lncRNA
AAAAGAGCAUAGCCAACUGAAUAACAGCACAGCAUUUUACAUAAAGGAUGUGUUGCUACCAUCUAGUGGUAGUGUAGUGCUAUAUAAAUAAAGUUGCCUAGUGUCAAAAUAAAUGUUUGUGGCCAUUAAUUCUAUAGAGAUCAAAAAACUGUUGGGAUAUAUUUUGAAUAACAAAUGGAUGUCAAUAAGAAUGUCAAUUGCAAAGUAACAAAGGAGUAGGGUUAAGGAGUAGGUGCUGUUAAAGGCCCACUAUGCAACUUUUUUAGCCAAAAUUACAUUAAGUAUGCAGGUUGAGAGUUAUGCUGAUGGUUCUGCAUCCAUUUCUGGGUUGAUUGGUGGGUGUGUCAUUUCCCCAUGUCGCCUCUCCAGUGAAAAAGCGCAUAUGCAACUUGAUCUGUUCGGACCGACACAAUCCGGAUGUGACGCAGCGGAAGUAUCCUCGAAAAUGUAGUCAGAUUGUAGUUUCGAAAAUGCUUUACGGCACAGACACACACCCAAACAUGGCACCGGCUAGAUAUAAACAGCCAGUUGCGAGGCAAUUGUUGUCCGAGAUCAGCCGACUAAAAAGAGACAGAGAAACCCAAUGUCGGAGGAACAGAAGAAGAGAAAAGGGAGACAGACCGACAGAGAGGCCAGACACGAGUAAACGUUGGGCAAGCUUUUCAGGAAUAGCGUGAACUGAAAGAAAAAGAAGACUGCAAAUCAGACGCCGACUCGGCCGUGUUGCUUUUGAAAUUGAAAGUACCCUUGGGUGAACUUUGUCUGCGUAAUAUUCUUGAUUCUGAUAGUCUCUGUACACAUGUGUUUGCUCAACCAUUUUUUUGAGCCCUGUAAAAAUUGUUUUCUCGACCGUUUUGUUGUGAGCCCUGUUUGUUUCUAGCUUGCUUGGUUGCAACCAUAUAAACACCUUUGUUUCCAUGGGUGUGUUGCUGUUCGUCUGUCUCGUCCCCCAGAUACAGACUGAAUCCCCGAAUCCAGGUUCUUGUUUAUUUCGAUUAUUAUGUUGGCCAAACCUCUUACACUGAUUGUUCUGUUCAACCUAAGAUAAAAUAAUUAUAACCUAGGGUAUAAAUUCUCCCCGUCAACUAUAAAAAAUGAUGGAUUUAUGUUUAUUGCAAUGCAAAUACACCAUUUUAAAAAUGUAUAACCUUGCCUACACUUUAUGAACAUCUAUUUUGGACAUGGCUCCGCGCAUUCGCCGGCUUCUUUGAAAACAAAUGCACAUGGCUCGCGUAGAAGAGCAUGGGGAAGGGACGUCAACGAGUUGUUACGACAGUGUUGUGAAAUAUCUACUACGAAGCUUUAGGGGGCGCUGUGUAGAGAAAUGUGCGUGCCAAAACCAAGAAAACAGCGAAGACAUGCCCGAAGUUGCAUAGUGGGCCUUUAAGGAGUAGGGUGCGCCGAGAGGAUGGUCGCACUGACAAUGGCUCCGCAUGCACUACAAAAAAAAAAAAAAAAAAAAAGCUACAGAGAUAUAGGAUGUUUUUUAAUUUGUUGUAUGUUAAUGUUACAUUUUAUAUGGUUUAUUGUCAUAUUGUUUUAGAGUUUUAUGUUAUUUUUGUUAUAUGUAUGACGUCUACUGCGUAGAUGAAUGAUGCUUGCCAAGUCGUAAGAAUUUUGCUGUGCUGAAGCAAUUUGGUACAUGCAACAAUAAACACACUUUGACUUUGACUUUGACUUGACUUUGACAAUGGAGGUUAAACAAAUUGCCUAUAUUAAAAAUCCUUUAUUACAACAUUAAUGCAGUCCAGCUCCACCACCGAAUG